GCGGAGGAAAAGAAAAUAACAAUGAUUCCCCUAGUAACGGCGAGUGAAGAGGGAAGAGCUCAAAGUUGGAACCUGUUUGGCUUAGCUAAACCGGAUUGUAAACUGGAGAAGUGUUUUCCUGGCACGCCAGACUGAUAAGUCCUUUGGAACAGGGCAUCAUAGAGGGUGAGAAUCCCGUGAUCGGUCUGAGCUGUUGUCUUUUGUGAUACACUUUCAAAGAGUCAGGUUGUUUGGGAAUGCAGCCUAAAUUGGGUGGUAAAUCUCACCUAAAGCUAAAUAUUGGCGAGAGACCGAUAGCGAACAAGUACCGUGAGGGAAAGAUGAAAAGAACUUUGAAAAGAGAGUUAAACAGUAUGUGAAAUUGUUGAAAGGGAACCGUUUGGAGUCAGACUGGCUUUGUCGUGAUCAAUCUGGGUUUCGACCUUGAUGCACUGACGGCAGAUGCCUGCCAUCGACAGUUUUGUCUGGAGGAAAAAACUAAAGGGAAUGUGGCCCCUCGGGGUGUUAUAGCCCUUUAGAAAAUACUCUGGAUGGGACUGAGGAACGCAGUGGAUGCCUUUUGGCGAAAUUGCUAGGCGCUUUUGUUGAUAGAUGCUGGAAUUUCUGCUUCGGGUGGUGCCAGUGUCUAAAGAUAAAACUCGCUUGGUAUAUUUUCUAUCCACUUAGGUUGAUGGCUUAAUGACUCUAAAUGAC
rnacentral:rRNA from 1 species